rnacentral:rRNA from 1 species
CAUGCCUAAUACAUGCAAGUCGAACGAAGGGGCCUUUAGAAGUAGUGCUUGCACUAUGGAAAAAGAACAUCCCCUUAGUGGCGAACGGGUGAGUAACACGUAGGUAACCUACCUAAUAGACAGGGACAACAGUUGGAAACGACUGCUAAAACCUGAUACGAUACAGGAUCGCAUGAGAAAGUAUUGAAAAUAGCUUUCAAGCUAUGCUAUAAGAGGGACCUGCGGCGCAUUAGCUAGUUGGUGAGAUAAUGGCUCACCAAGGCGACGAUGCGUAGCCGACCUGAGAGGGUGAACGGCCACAUUGGGACUGAGACACGGCCCAAACUCCUUCGGGAGGCAGCAGUAGGGAAUUUUCCACAAUGGGGGCAACCCUGAUGGAGCAAUGCCGCGUGAGAGAAGAAGGCCUUCGGGUUGUAAAUCUCUGUAGUAAGGGAGGAACAGUAUAAGUAGGAAAUGGCUUAUACCUGACAAUACCUUACGAGAAAGCCACGGCUAACUACGUGCCAGCCGCCGCCGUAACAC